AUUGAACGCUGGCGGCAGGCCUAACACAUGCAAGUCGAACGGUAGCACAGAGAGCUUGCUCUCGGGUGACGAGUGGCGGACGGGUGAGUAAUGUCUGGGAAACUGCCUGAUGGAGGGGGAUAACUACUGGAAACGGUAGCUAAUACCGCAUAACGUCGCAAGACCAAAGAGGGGGACCUUCGGGCCUCUUGCCAUCAGAUGUGCCCAGAUGGGAUUAGCUAGUAGGUGGGGUAAUGGCUCACCUAGGCGACGAUCCCUAGCCGGUCUGAGAGGAUGACCAGCCACACUGGAACUGAGACACGGUCCAGACUCCUACGGGAGGCAGCAGUGGGGAAUAUUGCACAAUGGGCGCAAGCCUGAUGCAGCCAUGCCGCGUGUAUGAAGAAGGCCUUCGGGUUGUAAAGUACUUUCAGCGAGGAGGAAGGCGGUGAGGUUAAUAACCUCAUCGAUUGACGUUACUCGCAGAAGAAGCACCGGCU
rnacentral:rRNA from 1 species